GGAUGGGUGACCUCCCGGGAAGUC
rnacentral:siRNA from 1 species